UACAGGCUUAACACAUGCAAGUCGAGGGGCAGCAUGGUCUUAGCUUGCUAAGGCCGAUGGCGACCGGCGCACGGGUGAGUAACACGUAUCCAACCUGCCGUCUACUCUUGGACAGCCUUCUGAAAGGAAGAUUAAUACAAGAUGGCAUCAUGAGUCCGCAUGUUCACAUGAUUAAAGGUAUUCCGGUAGACGAUGGGGAUGCGUUCCAUUAGAUAGUAGGCGGGGUAACGGCCCACCUAGUCUUCGAUGGAUAGGGGUUCUGAGAGGAUGGUCCCCCACAUUGGAACUGAGACACGGUCCAAACUCCUACGGGAGGCAGCAGUGAGGAAUAUUGGUCAAUGGGCGAGAGCCUGAACCAGCCAAGUAGCGUGAAGGAUGACUGCCCUAUGGGUUGUAAACUUCUUUUAUAAAGGAAUAAAGUCGGGUAUGGAUACCCGUUUGCAUGUACUUUAUGAAUAAGGAUCGGCUAACUCCGUGCCAGCAGCCGCGGUAAUACGGAGGAUCCGAGCGUUAUCCGGAUUUAUUGGGUUUAAAGGGAGCGUAGAUGGAUGUUUAAGUCAGUUGUGAAAGUUUGCGGCUCAACCGUAAAAUUGCAGUUGAUACUGGAUAUCUUGAGUGCAGUUGAGGCAGGCGGAAUUCGUGGUGUAGCGGUGAAAUGCUUAGAUAUCACGAAGAACUCCGAUUGCGAAGGCAGCCUGCUAAGCUGCAACUGACAUUGAGGCUCGAAAGUGUGGGUAUCAAACAGGAUUAGAUACCCUGGUAGUCCACACGGUAAACGAUGAAUACUCGCUGCUUGCGAUAUACUGCAAGCGGCCAAGCGAAAGCGUUAAGUAUUCCACCUGGGGAGUACGCCGGCAACGGUGAAACUCAAAGGAAUUGACGGGGGCCCGCACAAGCGGAGGAACAUGUGGUUUAAUUCGAUGAUACGCGAGGAACCUUACCCGGGCUUAAAUUGCAGAUGAAUUACGGUGAAAGCCGUAAGCCGCAAGGCAUCUGUGAAGGUGCUGCAUGGUUGUCGUCAGCUCGUGCCGUGAGGUGUCGGCUUAAGUGCCAUAACGAGCGCAACCCUUGUUGUCAGUUACUAACAGGUUCCGCUGAGGACUCUGACAAGACUGCCAUCGUAAGAUGUGAGGAAGGUGGGGAUGACGUCAAAUCAGCACGGCCCUUACGUCCGGGGCUACACACGUGUUACAAUGGGGGGUACAGAGGGCCGCUACCACGCGAGUGGAUGCCAAUCCCCAAAACCUCUCUCAGUUCGGACUGGAGUCUGCAACCCGACUCCACGAAGCUGGAUUCGCUAGUAAUCGCGCAUCAGCCACGGCGCGGUGAAUACGUUCCCGGGCCUUGUACACACCGCCCGUCAAGCCAUGGGAGCCGGGGGUACCUGAAGUGCGUAACCGCGAGGAGUGCCCUAGGGUAAAACUGGUGACUGGGGCUAAGUCGU
rnacentral:rRNA from 1 species